GGAUAUAGCUCAGUUGGUAGAGUGCUUGCCUUGCAUGCACAAGAGAGUGCUUGUCUUGCAUGAACAAGGCCCUGGGUUCAAUCCCCAGCCA
rnacentral:tRNA from 1 species